rnacentral:rRNA from 1 species
UACGUAGGGGGCAAGCGUUGUCCGGAUUUAUUGGGGCGUAAAAGAGCGUGUAGGCGGCUUAGAUAGGUCCGUUGUGAAAACUCGAGGCUCAACCUCGAGACGCCGAUGGAAACCAUCCAGCUAGGAGUCCGGAAGAGGAGAAUGGAAUUCCUGGUGUAGCGGUGAAAUGCGGCAGAUAUCAGGAAGAACACCCGUGGGCGAAGGCGGUUCGCUGGGACGGUACUGACGCUGGAGACGCGAAAGCGUGGGGAGCAAACAGG